rnacentral:rRNA from 1 species
CCUGAACGCUGUCGGCGUGACUAAGACAUGCAAGUCGUACGGUGUAGCAAUACACAGUGGCGCACGGGUGAGUAAUGUAUCGCUAAUGUACCCCGAACUCUGGGAUAGCCAGCCGAAAGGUUGGGUAAUACCAGAUGAGACCACGAUCUGGCAUCAGAUUGUGCUCAAAGGUUCGCCGGUUUGGGAUCAGGCGAUAUGGU